CAAAAAAAAAAAAAAGGAUUUUAUUUUUUUUGGCUGGGACGCAUGGGUAUUAGUUUGUACUCUUGAAAGCUAAUGAAAUAUCCGCAGACCCUACUAUACUGAAUUUUAAACUCUGGACACUGCAAAACAAGAACACUGUCCACGUCAUCACAUAUGUUAGUAGUCACCUUUACAUUAGAGGCACCUUCUAUAGUUAGGACUGAUCUCUUUUUUCCCUGAGGUAUGAGCCUGUCUUCUAAUCAUUCCUGAUACCGUCUUUCACAAUUGUGCCCUAGGGAAUGGUGCUCAGAAAAAGAAGCCAGUCAGAUUUGUUUUCUGUGCCCUUUUAACACUUCUAACUCAGGCACCCAAACCAGCUUGAACCGGAAAAAGUGUCAAAGCCAUCCUCUGGACUCUACCCAGGGCCUAUGGAUAUUCGGUUAGCUUGCAAGAGUACAAACUGAUACCCACUAAAGUGGGGAGUCCUGUUUUUUUCCGAAACAUAGCAGCAGCAGAGAUGUGGCUAUUGCGAUCAGAAUUACUUGGCUAGCCACGUUUGUCAGGACCGAAGAUGCCAGUGGUGUUUUAAUUAUAAGAUCACAGUAUUCCUUUGUCCUAUGUCUAGAGACUUCUUGGAAGCUGGAGCACACAAAUA
rnacentral:lncRNA from 1 species